rnacentral:rRNA from 1 species
CCUACGGGCGGCAGCAGUGGGGAAUAUUGGACAAUGGGGGCAACCCUGAUCCAGCCAUGCCGCGUGUGUGAAGAAGGCCCUCGGGUUGUAAAGCACUUUCAGUGAGGAAGAACGCCUGGUGGUUAAUACCCAUCAGGAAAGACAUCACUCACAGAAGAAGCACCGGCUAACUCCGUGCCAGCAGCCGCGGUAAUACGGAGGGUGCGAGCGUUAAUCGGAAUUACUGGGCGUAAAGCGCGCGUAGGUGGCUUGAUAAGCCGGUUGUGAAAGCCCCGGGCUCAACCUGGGAACGGCAUCCGGAACUGUCAAGCUAGAGUGCAGGAGAGGAAGGUAGAAUUCCCGGUGUAGCGGUGAAAUGCGUAGAGAUCGGGAGGAAUACCAGUGGCGAAGGCGGCCUUCUGGACUGACACUGACACUGAGGUGCGAAAGCGUGGGUAGCAAACAGGAUUAGAUCCCUUGUAGUC